CCCCCCGAAACGUGAAUUGAAUGGAUUACAUAUAGAUGGAAAGAUCCUCACCGAUAGAGGAACCAUCCUAGUAUGUUCUAAC
rfam:Calbertado virus isolate CALper polyprotein gene, complete cds